UACGUAGGGGGCAAGCGUUGUCCGGAUUUAUUGGGCGUAAAGAGCGUGUAGGCGGUUUGGUAGGUCCGCUGUGAAAACUCGAGGCUCAACCUCGAGACGCCGGUGGAAACCAUCAGACUAGAGUCCGGAAGAGGAGAGUGGAAUUCCUGGUGUAGCGGUGAAAUGCGCAGAUAUCGGGAGGAACACCUGUGGCGAAAGCGGCUCACUGGACCACAACUGACGCUGAGGCGCGAAAGCGUGGGGAGCGAACAGG
rnacentral:rRNA from 1 species